AACCAAUAAUAGCUCAAAAACCUAAUUACCCUUAAAAAUAUACCAAAAAUUAAAAUAAAACAUUUAUAAC
rnacentral:rRNA from 1 species